rnacentral:rRNA from 1 species
AUUGAACGCUGGCGGAAUGCUUUACACAUGCAAGUCGAACGGCAGCACGGACUUCGGUCUGGUGGCGAGUGGCGAACGGGUGAGUAAUACAUCGGAACGUACCCUGACGUGGGGGAUAACGUAGCGAAAGUUACGCUAAUACCGCAUACGUCCUGAGGGAGAAAGCAGGGGAUCGUAAGACCUUGCGCGUUAGGAGCGGCCGAUGGCGGAUUAGCUAGUUGGUAGGGUAAAGGCCUACCAAGGCGACGAUCCGUAGCGGGUCUGAGAGGACGACCCGCCACACUGGAACCGAGACACGGUCCAGACUCCUACGGGAGGCAGCAGUGGGGAAUUUUGGACAAUGGGCGAAAGCCUGAUCCAGCCAUUCCGCGUGAGUGAAGAAGGCCUUCGGGUUGUAAAGCUCUUUCGGCAGGGAAGAAACGGUUUUGGAUAAUACCCAGAACUAAUGACGGUACCUGAAGAAGAAGCACCGGCUAACUACGUGCCAGCAGCCGCCGUAA